UACGUAGGGCGCAAGCGUUAUCCGGAAUUAUUGGGCGUAAAGAGCUCGUAGGCGGUUUGUCGCGUCUGCCGUGAAAGUCCGGGGCUCAACUCCGGAUCUGCGGUGGGUACGGGCAGACUAGAGUGAUGUAGGGGAGACUGGAAUUCCUGGUGUAGCGGUGAAAUGCGCAGAUAUCAGGAGGAACACCGAUGGCGAAGGCAGGCUCUGGCGUC
rnacentral:rRNA from 1 species